rnacentral:tRNA from 1 species
AGGGGUGUAGCUCAGUCGGCAGAGCAUCGGUCUCCAAAACCGAGGGUCGGGGGUUCGAGUCCCUCCGCCCCUGCCA